GUUUUUAAAACUAUUGCAAUAUUGGAUCUUAGGAUCUAAAUCGAAGUCUUAUUGUUCUGGGCACAGUGAAAACAAGUACAAGAACCAGCUUCCACCCUAAGAAGUCCUAAAAUAUAAUCUGCUCUUCCACAAGCUUUUCAGUUCUGUAGGCUGCAUCUUUGUUAGCAAAUAGUGUGGAGCAGUGGAUAUGGAUCUGCAGGAACAAACAGGCUGCAGGUUCUCUGCAGGAGGCUGGAGCAGGCUGCCAGGCAGAAAUUUCAAAAGCAUCCCUGAGAUGCUAUGGGGAGCAUGGAACACCUGAGAAACAGAGAAUCACUGUUACAUAAGCCUUCUAUUUCCUGGCUGAACAAGACAGGUCUAAAGGUAUCCAGGUGUUGGAGCUCUGCAGGAUGUGCCCCAGAGAGGCAGCUGCCCCACGUGCCUGUAUCUGAGGUGCAUCAGAUGAAACGUAGGUGAGUGUUUGAUAAAAACCUUUCAGACAAGAAGCAGAAUGGUCAGAUCUGAUUUGUAGGGACAAGGGAAGGGGUAAAUGGUGCCGGGCCAAUGUGUUCCUCCUCCCCAGCUGGUGCCUUCCAUGGCAGUUUUUACCAAGUCCUUUGCAGGGGGAUGCAGUUACUAAACUGUGCCAUGUGUGGCAUCUCGCUCCUUUGAAGUUCAUACUUCAAGGGGAAGAGCAAAGAGACAUCCUGCUAGAGCACUCAGGUGGAUUCAGUUCAGCCUUCCUUGUAUCUUAAGAAGGAAAGGAAAAAAGGCAAAGUAAGUGGAGAGGGAAAAGAAAUUCUUCCUCAAUCCAGGACUGGGUAAAGUUGAUGCAAAUCUUGGUUUGAUUAGCAUGUAUAGGAGUCAUUUACAGUAAUUUAUCUGCUUUUUCCCCAGUGCUUUUGUCCUAAACUUAUUUUGCACUGCAAAGUAAGGCAGUUAUCAGCUGCUUUUCUGUUAUCCUCUGAGGGGAGCAUUUUCUGCAGCUGCUGAAUUGCACUCAGAACAGUGGAGAAUGAUCACCAUGAUUUACAAGGAGGCUUCAGGUCAAUGCCCUGCUGAGGAAGUGAAGGAGCAGGGGCUGAUAGACAAAGAUAACUGCUUCUGCCUGGAAGUUAAACGGCUGCCCUUGAGGGGAGACUGCACAGGGAUCACAGGUUCAAUCGCUCCAGGGAUGUGUUUCCAGAGUGAUUUUUAUGUCUUUAAGAAAAAUUAAGUGAUGAAUCUGGCCUAUCAAGUAGCCUAAUGACCAAAAUUCCUAAAACUUCUUCAAGUUCUACAGCUAUGGGAUUUUUAUGAAUGAAGUAAGGAGCAGACACAAGAGGUCUUCAAGUAAGACACUUUCCAGUCUCAGUAGGAAGUGAAAAUGUCUUGAAAGUUCUGCCAUCACUUGAUAUUUAUUCUUCUGUCCCUUGUGCAUUAUCUUUUAGACUGUAUUUUCCAUACCAUAUUGUUACACAGUGAUAAAGAGUUCAACAAAACGAAAAAUUAUUUGAAUGAAAAAUGGGAGUAAGACUCUGACAUGCCUGGUUUGUACAGAUAAGGAAGUAUAUGAAAUAUAAUGUUAUCUGCUUAAUCCAUGUUACUUUGGACAUUACCACACUUACACUUUAUUAACAGUAGGAUUUCUGCUCUCUAGGUUUUGUACCAGCUAAGUUGCUUAGCAACCUUAACUCCAAGAUAACGAUGUCUUGCUGCUUGUGAUUAAAGAAUGAUUUUUUUCAUGUAUUCUGUUUAUGAUAUAUCUAACUUACAUAUUUUGUUGUUUGCAAAGUCUUUCCCUCAAUUUUCAUUCCAAAUAUAGUAAGGUAUAUAUAUGUUCCUUGACGCACUUUAUCUUUGAAAUUCACCACAGUCAACUACUUUAGUGAAUGCAAGUGGCACAAUAGUAUUAUGAGAAAACCCACACUAUACAGUAAUGCAAAGAACAUAAAAUGGAGAAGCAGCCUAUAGAGCAGCUCCUGAUACUGCUGUAUAAAUCCUUAAAACCUUUUCAGCACAAGUGCAUUGCUAAUAACCGUGGAUAAUGCUCUAGUUCUGUGGUUUAAUUCUCCUUUUAAAUAAAUAAAUAGAAAGCUCUGGGACUUGUCCA
ensembl:lncRNA